CGUAAGGUACGCAAAAGCCAUUGUUGCCAGAUUGAGGGAUUUUGAGACUAUUUAGCCCAUUUAUUUAAUGGAAGUGGAUGAAGAUCGGUUUCGUUGCCUAUUACGGGAUUCCUUUACCUGGGCGAGGCCCUUUGAGCGUGACGCCCCCCCCGCCACGCCACGCCACGCCAAUGACGCCAACCACGUGACAGAGGAGCAAUCCAUGAAAUGGGACAAUUGGCAAGCAAUUGAUCCUGCCCAAAUCCCAGAGUUCCUGUGGGAAUAAUCAAUAUCUGAAAACAGAGCGCUUAACGAAGCGAGGGAAGAAGAGCGUGGGUGGAAGAGAGAAAGAGAGAGAGCGGCCAGGUUUCCACAGCAACGGCCGAUCAACAGCAGCAGUAGCCAAGGGGGUAAUUCCAUCUUGAAGAGAACAGGCUACAGGAGCCACUGCAACGCAGUAAAGACUGGGGGCAUAUUUGGGGCCGAUGGGAGCCCAGCCCUGCUAUUAUCCAGGAGAUGAUGCUAUUUCCUGUGCGAAUCUGUCAUUAAUGUAUGUCAGUCAGGCUUUAUCAGUUUUCUGUUUAAUUCAACAAACAAGUUUCUGUUCUGUCCCCCUCUCAGUGUUCAGAUUUUGUAGGGCAGGCCAGGGGGCCAGCCCACAUUGAUUUUCUCUGGUUGCGUGCAAUUGGCUACAUGUGGUUGAUGCUACCUCAAUGGUUUGGUGGGUAUGUCUGUCCCAAAAUUUUGUAAAAGCAGAAGUGAAUUAAUUGGGACCUGCAACACAUUCUGUGAAUUCCCGGCAUUUCAACCCUCUUGGGUGCUGUCAGACACAUUACCAGUGCCCAGCCAGGAAGGCUCAAGGUCAAUGGUCACACAAAGGCAUCUUAUGUAGAGUACAUUUUGAGGACUGAUGUAUUGGCCUCAUAGCUUGGUGUUUAUCACAUCUUUAAGUUAGCUAGCUAGUUUAGUUAGCGGUCAUCAUAGAUAACGUCGACUAGCCAAUCCCCCUAGAACGUCAUUUUAAAAUGUAGCAUUAAGAAUGAAAUGUAGAGAUAAAACAUUUCAGCACUUGUCAGCCACUAAAAAUUGAAAUGAGGCCAUCCACUGAAAUAUAGCAAGCCGGAAAGUAAGAUUAAAGUGGAGUGGUUUGUGGAUGAAUGGAGCAGCUGUGGCUAACAUCUGUUUUGAGGUUGGUGCUAUAUAACAUGUCUUAUUGUUGCAUGGAGCUGUAACUAUGCUAUAGGAAAUAUCAGCAUGAAUGUUGUUGCUUAAUUGUUGUCUUGGUAAUCAUUGUAAUAAGCAGGUGUUUUUGCUGUGUUCUGAUAUGCUCUUACAACGUCUCAUUGUUUUUCAGGCGGAAAUGUCUUUUGCUGUAUUAUAAACAUUAUUCAACUGCGGUGUUCAAUGCAAUAUGUAUUUCAGGAUGACUAUAAACUGCAUAUAACCCAAAUGUUGCGUGUUUGUCUGGGUGCUUCAAGACACAUUUAUUGGAUUUGUUAUUGUGG
rnacentral:lncRNA from 1 species